rnacentral:rRNA from 1 species
AUUGAACGCUGGCGGCAGGCCUACCACAUGCAAGUCGAGCGAGCGGCGGACGGGUGAGUAAUGUCUGGGAAACUGCCUGAUGGAGGGGGCUAACUACUGGAAACGGUAGCUAAUACCGCAUACCAUCAGAUGUGCCCAGAUGGGAUUAGCUAGUAGGUGUGGUAACGGCUCACCUAGGCAACGCUCCCUAGCUGGUCUGAGAGGAUGACCAGCCACACUGGGACUAAGAAGUGGUCCAGACUCCUACGGGCGGCAGCAGUGGGGAAAAUUGCAGAGUGGGAGCAAUCCUGAUGCAGCCAGGACGCGUGUGUGAAGAAGGCCUUCGGGUUGUAAAACACUGUCAGCGGGGAGGCGUUACCCGCAGAAGAAGCACCGGCUAACUCCGUGCCAGCAGCCGCGGUAAUAC